rnacentral:rRNA from 1 species
GUAGGUGGCAAGCGUUGUCCGGAAUUAUUGGGCGUAAAGCGCGCGCAGGCGGUUCUUUAAGUCUGAUGUGAAAGCCCACGGCUCAACCGUGGAGGGUCAUUGGAAACUGGAGAACUUGAGUACAGAAGAGGAAAGCGGAAUUCCGCGUGUAGCGGUGAAAUGCGUAGAGAUGUGGAGGAACACCAGUGGCGAAGGCGGCUUUCUGGUCUGUAGCUGACGCUGAGGCGCGAAAGCGUGGGGGAGCAAACAGGAUUAGAUACCCUGGUAGUCCACGCCGUAAACGAUGAGUGCUAAGUGUUAGGGGGUUUCCGCCCCUUAGUGCUGCAGCUAACGCAUUAAGCACUCCGCCUGGGAGUACGGCCGCAAGGCUG